GACGAACGCUGGCGGCGUGCCUAAUACAUGCAAGUAGAACGCUGAAGCGAGGAGCUUGCUCUUCUUGGAUGAGUUGCGAACGGGUGAGUAACGCGUAGGUAACCUGCCUUGUAGCGGGGGAUAACUAUUGGAAACGAUAGCUAAUACCGCAUAACAAUGGAUGACACAUGUCAUUUAUUUGAAAGGGGCAAUUGCUCCACUACAAGAUGGACCUGCGCUGUAUUAGCUAGUAGGUGAGGUAAUGGCUCACCUAGGCGACGAUACAUAGCCGACCUGAGAGGGUGAUCGGCCACACUGGGACUGAGACACGGCCCAGACUCCUACGGGAGGCAGCAGUAGGGAAUCUUCGGCAAUGGGGGCAACCCUGACCGAGCAACGCCGCGUGAGUGAAGAAGGGUUUCGGAUCGUAAAGCUCGGUUGUAAGUCAAGAACGGGUGUGAGAGUGGAAAGUUCACACUGUGACGGUAGCUUACCAGAAAGGGACGGCUAACUACGUG
rnacentral:rRNA from 1 species